GACGAACGCUGGCGGCGUGCUUAACACAUGCAAGUCGAACGGAAAGGCCCUGCUUUUGUGGGGUGCUCGAGUGGCGAACGGGUGAGUAACACGUGAGUAACCUGCCCUUGACUUUGGGAUAACUUCAGGAAACUGGGGCUAAUACCGGAUAGGAGCUCCUGCUGCAUGGUGGGGGUUGGAAAGUUUCGGCGGUUGGGGAUGGACUCGCGGCUUAUCAGCUUGUUGGUGGGGUAGUGGCUUACCAAGGCUUUGACGGGUAGCCGGCCUGAGAGGGUGACCGGCCACAUUGGGACUGAGGUACGGCACAGACUCCUACGGGAAGCAGCAGUGGGAAAUAUUGAACAAUGGGCGGCAGCCUGAUGCAGCAACGCCGCGUGCGGGAUGGCGGCCUUCGGGUUGUAAACCGCUUUCGCCUGUGACGAAGCGUGAGUGACGGUAAUGGGUAAAGAAGCACCGGCUAACUACGUG
rnacentral:rRNA from 1 species